rnacentral:rRNA from 1 species
CCUGACUGUGCAAAGGUAGCAUAAUAAUUUGCCUUUUAAUUAGAGGAUAGAAUGAAUGGUUUAAUAAGGUAUGGCUGUCUUACAUAUAUUUAUUAAAAGUUGAUUUUUAGGUUAAAACGCCUAAAUAAAAUUAAAAGACGAGAAGACCCUAUUAAGCUUAAGAGAAGUGUAUAAUUAGUACUAUACCAAAAAUGUCAGGUUAUUAAUGGAACUUUUGUUGGGGCGACAUGGGAGCAAAACAAACCUCUCUUAAAAAAAUAAAAUUUGAUUUAUGAUCCAAAAAUUUUGAAUUAAAAACAAGUUACUAUAGGGAUAACAGCGUAAUUUUAUUUGAGAGCUCUAAUCGAAAAUAAAGUUUGCGACCUCGAUGUUGGAUUAAGAAGUAAUAAAGGUUGCAGAAGCUUUUAUAAUUAGUCUGUUCGACUAGUAAUAUCUUACAUGAUCUGAGUUCAAACCGGA